UCUUGGAGGAGGAGAAGCAAGACGGCGGAAGAGUAGGGGUCCUCAACUCACCUGGUCCCGCCAACUUACUUUCAAAACAUCCUAAACACCUACUGAUUUGACCCGAUAUUUAAAGAGAGCUGCCUGAACGCUACAGAGUGAAAAGUUUUUGCUUCUAACAAGGAUAACUGAUGAGAGAUAAGAAGAAUUGUAAUAAUAUUCAUCUAUACAAGUAUGGUGGUCUUUGUGUCUUCCUCUAGGCCAUAGAACUCUACCACUGAGGGAAUUUAUGGUAGAUUUACUCCUGGCUUCUCCUCUGGGAGUAGAAUCCAUCUCAAAAAGGCAAAUUAUGGCAGUCCUGAUUUCUUGGAAGUUUCUGCUUUUUGUCAGGACACUCCUGUAAAUGAAGCAUUAUCCUCAGAGAUUUUCUUGGCUGAAAAUAUUGUCUGGCUAAUUUCUACAUUUGAGUGUUGACUGCAAAGUGGCACUGAAGUUCAGCAGGACACAUUUCCUGUCUAUAUCCAUGACUGGUUGUGCAACUGGUGCGAACUCUCAGG